CGACUCCAUGAAGCUGGAUUCGCUAGUAAUCGCGCAUCAGCCACGGCGCGGUGAAUACGUUCCCGGGCCUUGUACACACCGCCCGCCAAGCCAUGGAAGCCGGGGGGUGCCUGAAGUGCGCUGCCGCAAGGAGCGCCCUAGGGUAAAACCGGUGACUGGGGCUAAGUCGUAACAAGGUAAC
rnacentral:rRNA from 1 species